rnacentral:rRNA from 1 species
UACAGAGGGGGCGAGCGUUGUUCGGAAUUACUGGGCGUAAAGGGCGCGUAGGCGGCCUUCUAAGUCGAACGUGAAAUCCCCGGGCUCAACUGCGGGUCUGCAGUCGAUACGGGCAGGCUAGAGUUCGGUAGGGGAGACUGGAAUUCCUGGUGUAGCGGUGAAAUGCGCAGAUAUCAGGAGGAACACCGAUGGCGAAGGCAGGUCUCUGGGCCGUAACUGACGCUGAGGAGCGAAAGCAUGGGGAGCGAACAGG